rnacentral:RNase_P_RNA from 1 species
GAUAGUCGGACGGUUGCGCGGCUCUGCCGUGAGGAAAGUCCGAACACCACAGGACAGGAUGCCGGCUAACUACCGGUGAAGGCAACUUUAAGGAAAGUGCAACAGAAAUAAACCGCCCGCGUUUUUUUUGCGCAGGCAAGGCUGGAAAGGCAGGGUAAGAGCCUACCGCGCCCGCGGCAACGCGGGCGGCAAUGUAAACCCCAUCCGGUGCAAGAUGUGAGGAAAUUCGGUUGUCCGCCGUUCCUCCUAUAUCGCUUGACCGUAUCGGCGACGAUGCGGCUAGACAGAUAACCGCCCAAGACAGAAUUCGGCUUACAGAUUAUCUUG